GAUGAACGCUGGCGGCGUGCCUAAUACAUGCAAGUCGAGCGAACGGACGAGAAGCUUGCUUCUCUGAUGUUAGCGGCGGACGGGUGAGUAACACGUGGAUAACCUACCUAUAAGACUGGGAUAACUUCGGGAAACCGGAGCUAAUACCGGAUAAUAUUUUGAACCGCAUGGUUCAAAAGUGAAAGACGGUCUUGCUGUCACUUAUAGAUGGAUCCGCGCUGCAUUAGCUAGUUGGUAAGGUAACGGCUUACCAAGGCAACGAUGCAUAGCCGACCUGAGAGGGUGAUCGGCAACACUGGAACUGAGACACGGUCCAGACUCCUACGGGAGGCAGCAGUAGGGUAUCUUCCGCAAUGGGCGAAAGCCUGACGGAGCAAGGCCGCGUGAGUGAUGAAGGUCUUCGGAUCGUAAAACUCUGUUAUUAGGGAAGAACAUAUGUGUAAGGAACUGUGCACAUCUUGACGGUACCUAAUCAGAAAGCCACGGCUAACUACGUG
rnacentral:rRNA from 1 species